UACGUAGGGUGCAAGCGUUGUCCGGAAUUAUUGGGCGUAAAGAGCUCGUAGGCGGUUUGUCGCGUCUGCUGUGAAAUCCCAGGGCUUAACCCUGGGCCUGCAGUGGGUACGGGCAAACUAGAGUGCGGUAGGGGAGAUCGGAAUUCCUGGUGUAGCGGUGAAAUGCGCAGAUAUCAGGAGGAACACCGGUGGCGAAGGCGGAUCUCUGGGCCGUAACUGACGCUGAGGAGCGAAAGCAUGGGGAGCGAACAGG
rnacentral:rRNA from 1 species